GACGAACGCUGGCGGCGUGCUUAACACAUGCAGGUCGAACGGAAAGGCCCUGCUUUUGUGGGGUGCUCGAGUGGCGAACGGGUGAGUAACACGUGAGUAACCUGCCCUUGACUUUGGGAUAACUUCAGGAAACUGGGGCUAAUACCGGAUAGGAGCUCCUGCUGCAUGGUGGGGGUUGGAAAGUUUCGGCGGUUGGGGAUGGACUCGCGGCUUAUCAGCUUGUUGGUGGGGUAGUGGCUUACCAAGGCUUUGACGGGUAGCCGGCCUGAGAGGGUGACCGGCCACAUUGGGACUGAGAUACGGCCCAGACUCCUACGGGAGGCAGCAGUGGGGAAUAUUGCACAAUGGGCGGAAGCCUGAUGCAGCAACGCCGCGUGCGGGACGACGGCCUUCGGGUUGUAAACCGCUUUCGCCUGUGACGAAGCGUGAGUGACGGUAAUGGGUAAAGAAGCACCGGCUAACUACGUG
rnacentral:rRNA from 1 species